rnacentral:rRNA from 1 species
UACGUAGGGGGCGAGCGUUGUCCGGAAUUAUUGGGCGUAAAGAGCGUGUAGGCGGUUCGGUAAGUCUGCCGUGAAAACCUGGGGCUCAACCCUGGGCGUGCGGUGGAUACUGCCGGGCUAGAGGAUGGUAGAGGCGAGUGGAAUUCCCGGUGUAGCGGUGAAAUGCGCAGAUAUCGGGAGGAACACCAGUAGCGAAGGCGGCUCGCUGGGCCAUUCCUGACGCUGAGACGCGAAAGCUAGGGGAGCGAACAGG